rnacentral:rRNA from 1 species
CCUACGGGGUGCAGCAGUGAGGAAUAUUGGUCAAUGGACGAGAGUCUGAACCAGCCAAGUAGCGUGAAGGAUGACUGCCCUAUGGGUUGUAAACUUCUUUUAUAUGGGAAUAAAAUGUUCCACGUGUGGGAUUUUGUAUGUACCAUAUGAAUAAGGAUCGGCUAACUCCGUGCCAGCAGCCGCGGUAAUACGGAGGAUCCGAGCGUUAUCCGGAUUUAUUGGGUUUAAAGGGAGCGUAGGUGGAUUGUUAAGUCAGUUGUGAAAGUUUGCGGCUCAACCGUAAAAUUGCAGUUGAAACUGGCAGUCUUGAGUACAGUAGAGGUGGGCGGAAUUCGUGGUGUAGCGGUGAAAUGCUUAGAUAUCACGAAGAACUCCGAUUGCGAAGGCAGUUCACUAGACUGCAACUGACACUGAGGCUCGAAAGUGUGGGUAUCAAACAGGAUUAGAUACCCUUGUAGUC